CCAAGCUGCCCGGCGUUCCGUGCCUUUUGCGCAUGCGUCUCCCGCUGUGCAGGGACGAGCCUGGUGGAGGGGGGGGGCGUUACCACUCAUCACGUGUUGGUCGCGUGCCAGCAGUGGCGGUUACGAAUGUGAAGCACGAGGGCGGAGCGGGUGGUAAAGGUGGGGUUUCCCAGGCGAGAAGGAAAGGAUCAGUCUAUUUAAGAGCCUGCAGUCAAGAUGUCGAAUGAACAACAGGUGAGGGGAAAACAGCUUGAAACUAUCACAUCGCCUCAUAUCGGAGGGUCAGAACUGAGGGAGAGUGGCAUUGUUGGAAGUUGCAUCCAGGAUCUGCAUCUUCUUUGAAGCGCAUGGAGCAGACGGUUGGGAGGCCUGAGUCUUCAAUGAUGCAAUCACAUCA